GAUGAACGCUAGCGGCAGGCCUAAUACAUGCAAGACGAACGGUAAGGUCUUUAGCAAUAAGAAUCCUAGAGUGUCGUAAGGGUGCGUAACACGUAUGCAAUCUGCCCUCAACAGGAGGAUAGCUCCCCGAAAGGGGAAUUAAAACUCCGUAAGAUCACAGAAUGGCAUCAUUGAGUGAUUAAAACUACGGUGGGUGAGGAUGAGCAUGCGCAUGAUUAGUUAGUUGGCGGGGUAACGGCCCACCAAGACGAUGAUCAUUAGGGGAACUGAGAGGUUGAUCCCCCACACUGGCACUGAGAUACGGGCCAGACUCCUACGGGAGGCAGCAGUAGGGAAUAUUGGUCAAUGGGCGCAAGCCUGAGCCAGCCAUGCCGCGUGCAGGAUGACGGUCCUAUGGAUUGUAAACUGCUUUUGUACGAGAAGAAACACCCCUACGUGUAGGGACUUGACGGUAUCGUAAGAAUAAGGAUCGGCUAACUCCGUGCCAGCCGCCGCCGUAACAC
rnacentral:rRNA from 1 species